ensembl:lncRNA
UUUGUAUUUAUUUGUUUUACAGUUAAAUCAUUAAAAAUAUCCUGGUUUUCAAUGUUUAUGUGUAGAUAUGUUUUAAUUAUGACUUAAAGUUUAUUCUAAAUGAUCCAUUUUAUCCAAAAAUAAAAAAUAAAACCAUGAUGGGUAGAUUUGACCUCUUCCAGCACGGAGAUCUGUUGUACAGACAUGAUAGUCUGCGGAGAUUUGUGGUUUCUCCAUCUGUCCUGUAUUAGCGAGUCACGAGCCGAGCGCAUUUCUCAAAGGACCAAAGGAGGUGAAUGUGACACCUGCAGUUAAAUGAAUAAAAAUCAAACAUUUAGAGAGUUGUGGGGAUGGGGAUGGCGAAGCCGCAUGCUGUUGUGGUGCAGGCUGCUGGAUGUCAGAGAAAUGAGUGACAAAGUAACUUCUUCAAAGCCUGCUGGGUGGAUGGAGCAAUGAGAGUGAGAGGUGCUGAUUUAGAAGGCAGACGCGUUGUUCGUGUGCAACACCAUGCUGCGAUCUUUUUGGAUUCUGGGAGCUGUUCCUUUUCCUCUAGGGAUGUGUUUGCAGUCAUCACUCAUAGCAUGAAGAAAGAUAUUACAGUCCUUGGUGUGGAAUCUCAUUGUAGAUCGAAUGUAUAUGCUUUGCAAAUUCACAAUAAAACAUUACCAUCACAAUAAAACAAUGUUACUGUAAGGAAUCAAUAUGCAAAGGGUCCUCUGUAAAUACCCUUAAACGGAGGAGUUUUAAACUGCCUUUACACUAUUGCCAAUAAACAACAGAACGGAAGUCAUUCAUUUCCAUUGAAGAGCAUAUGAGCUGUGUGAAGUUCUGACAAUUUGCAUAAUGUGGAAUUUUCAUGUCUAAUUUCAGCUUUGGAUAUGUUGAAAUAUUUUGUGUCUUGACCGUAUGUGACUGCCUCAUUUCUGUAAAAUGGGUUAUUAUGAAUAAUUAUGUCUGACAUAAUUAUUUUGUAAUUGUUAAAUAAUUAUUUACAAUGAUUAGCACUAUAAAAACGACUGUUUUUUUUUUUUAGAUGUAUCGGUGCUGAUUUAUUGGUGAAUAUGACAAGUUUGAAAGUUCCAUGCAGCUGUCACUAGGGGUGAAAUGCAAAUGUCACACUUAAGUCUUUGAACCUGACAACCCUUUUCAUUUUCAUUAAACAGAAAAGAAUGGCCAUUUCAACUAUCAACAUUUCAUCUUUUGUGUCCACUGAGGAAAGAAAAUAAUACAUUUUGGAACGACAUGAGGGUGGGAAUAACGACAGAAUGUCAGAGUUUUGUCUGAGCUGUAUUUUAAAGUCAUAUCUGUCAGUGAUUUUCACUUUUAAACUGAACUUUAACAAGCUUCAUAUGUUUUUAAUACUCACCUGGCAUGUUUUUUCUAUACAUGCAAGUGGGACAAUAUGAGAUUAUUAAUGCUUGUACAGACAGAUUCUCUCUCCUUUUUUCAUUUUUUGGGCUGAUGACACUGCAGAGUGUGGAAAGAUGGAAAUAGGUGGGUGAAUCAAUAGGGGAUAGAGAAGAAAAUAAGAAAGAGAAGGAGCGCUGGCACCCAUGUGAUUUUUUUUAAGCUCCUAAGGCAUUUCUCUCGCUCUUUCUCUACUCUCUCUCGCUCCCUG